rnacentral:rRNA from 1 species
ACUCAAAGGAAUUGACGGGGACCCGCACAAGCAGCGGAGCGUGUGGUUUAAUUCGAUGCAACGCGAACAACCUUACCAAAGCUUGACAUGCACUCGCACCAGCCGUAAUGGGCUGUUCCUUCACGGGACGGGUGCAAAGGUGCUGCAUGGCUGUCGUCAGCUCGUGUCGUGAGAUGUUGGGUUAAGUCCCGCAACGAGCGCAACCCUUGUCGCUAGUUGAAUGUUCUAGCGAAACUGCCGUCUCAAAACGGAGGAAGGUGGGGAUGAUGUCAAGUCAGCACGGCCCUGACGCUUUGGGCGACACACACGCUACAAUGGCCGGGACAAAGGGCUGCCAACCCGCGAGGGGGAGCCAAUCCCACAAACCCGGUCUCAGUUCAGAUUGCAGGCUGCAACCCGCCUGCAUGAAGGAGGAGUUGCUGGUAAUCGUGAGUCAGCACAUCACGGUGAAUACGUUCCCGGGUCUUGUACACACCGCCCGU